AGCUCACUGGUCGAGUCGGCCUGCGCGGAAGAUGUAACGGGGCUAAACCAUGCACCGAAGCUGCGGCAGCGACACUGUGUGUUGUUGGGUAGGGGAGCGUUCUGUAAGCCUGUGAAGGUGGCCUGUGAGGGUUGCUGGAGGUAUCAGAAGUGCGAAUGCUGACAUAAGUAACGAUAAAGCGGGUGAAAAGCCCGCUCGCCGGAAGACCAAGGGUUCCUGUCCAACGUUAAUCGGGGCAGGGUGAGUCGACCCCUAAGGCGAGGCCGAAAGGCGUAGUCGAUGGGAAACGGGUUAAUAUUCCCGUACUUGGUGUUACUGCGAAGGGGGGACGGAGAAGGCUAUGUUGGCCGGGCGACGGUUGUCCCGGUUUAAGCGUGUAGGUGUGUGUUCCAGGUAAAUCCGGUUCACUUUAACACUGAGGCGUGACGACGAGGCACUACGGUGCUGAAGCAACAAAUGCCCUGCUUCCAGGAAAAGCCUCUAAGCAUCAGGUAACAUCAAAUCGUACCCCAAACCGACACAGGUGGUCAGGUAGAGAAUACCAAGGCGCUUGAGAGAACUCGGGUGAAGGAACUAGGCAAAAUGGUGCCGUAACUUCGGGAGAAGGCACGCUGACACGUAGGUGAAGUGAUUUACUCACGGAGCUGAAGUCAGUCGAAGAUACCAGCUGGCUGCAACUGUUUAUUAAAAACACAGCACUGUGCAAACACGAAAGUGGACGUAUACGGUGUGACGCCUGCCCGGUGCCGGAAGGUUAAUUGAUGGGGUCAGCGCAAGCGAAGCUCCUGAUCGAAGCCCCGGUAAACGGCGGCCGUAACUAUAACGGUCCUAAGGUAGCGAAAUUCCUUGUCGGGUAAGUUCCGACCUGCACGAAUGGCGUAAUGAUGGCCAGGCUGUCUCCACCCGAGACUCAGUGAAAUUGAACUCGCUGUGAAGAUGCAGUGUACCCGCGGCAAGACGGAAAGACCCCGUGAACCUUUACUAUAGCUUGACACUGAACAUUGAGCCUUGAUGUGUAGGAUAGGUGGGAGGCUUUGAAGCGUGGACGCCAGUCUGCGUGGAGCCGACCUUGAAAUACCACCCUUUAAUGUUUGAUGUUCUAACGUGGACCCGUGAUCCGGGUUGCGGACAGUGUCUGGUGGGUAGUUUGACUGGGGCGGUCUCCUCCUAAAGAGUAACGGAGGAGCACGAAGGUUGGCUAAUCCUGGUCGGACAUCAGGAGGUUAGUGCAAUGGCAUAAGCCAGCUUGACUGCGAGCGUGACGGCGCGAGCAGGUGCGAAAGCAGGUCAUAGUGAUCCGGUGGUUCUGAAUGGAAGGGCCAUCGCUCAACGGAUAAAAGGUACUCCGGGGAUAACAGGCUGAUACCGCCCAAGAGUUCAUAUCGACGGCGGUGUUUGGCACCUCGAUGUCGGCUCAUCACAUCCUGGGGCUGAAGUAGGUCCCAAGGGUAUGGCUGUUCGCCAUUUAAAGUGGUACGCGAGCUGGGUUUAGAACGUCGUGAGACAGUUCGGUCCCUAUCUGCCGUGGGCGCUGGAGAACUGAGGGGGGCUGCUCCUAGUACGAGAGGACCGGAGUGGACGCAUCACUGGUGUUCGGGUUGUCAUGCCAAUGGCACUGCCCGGUAGCUAAAUGCGGAAGAGAUAAGUGCUGAAAGCAUCUAAGCACGAAACUUGCCCCGAG
rnacentral:rRNA from 1 species